rnacentral:rRNA from 1 species
UAGUCUGCUUGCAGACGAAGUGAGUGAUACCCAGCUUCCAGGAAAAGCCACUAAGCUUCAGCUACACACGACCGUACCGCAAACCGACACUGGUGCGCGAGAUGAGUAUUCUAAGGCGCUUGAGAGAACUCAGGAGAAGGAACUCGGCAAAUUGAUACCGUAACUUCGGGAGAAGGUAUGCCCCAAGUAGGUGAACUCGAACAGAGGGAGCCCAACGGGGUUGCAAAAAAUCGGUGGCUGCGACUGUUUAAUAAAAACACAGCACUCUGCAAACACGAAAGUGGACGUAUAGGGUGUGACGCCUGCCCGGUGCUGGAAGAUUAAAUGAUGGGGUGCAAGCUCUUGAUUGAAGUCCCAGUAAACGGCGGCCGUAACGAUAACGGUCCUAAGGUAGCGAAAUUCCUUGUCGGGUAAGUUCCGACCUGCACGAAUGGCGUAACGAUGGCCACACUGUCUCCUCCUGAGACUCAGCGAAGUUGAAAUGUUUGUGAUGAUGCAAUCUCCCCGCGGAAAGACGGAAAGACCCCAUGAACCUUUACUGUAGCUUUGUAUUGGACUUUGAACAGAUCUGUGUAGGAUAGGUGGGAGGCUUUGAAGUGAUGUCGCUAGAUGUCAUGGAGCCAACGUUGAAAUACCACCCUGGUGUGUUUGAGGUUCUAACCUAGGUCCAUUAUCUGGAUCGGGGACAGUGCAUGGUAGGCAGUUUGACUGGGGCGGUCUCCUCCCAAAGCGUAACGGAGGAGUUCGAAGGUACGCUAGUUACGGUCGGACAUCGUGACGAUAGUGCAAUGGCAUAAGCGUGCUUAACUGCGAGACUGACAAGUCGAGCAGAUGCGAAAGCAGGACAUAGUGAUCCGGUGGUUCUGUAUGGAAGGGCCAUCGCUCAACGGAUAAAAGGUACUCUGGGGAUAACAGGCUGAUACCGCCCAAGAGUUCAUAUCGACGGCGGUGUUUGGCACCUCGAUGUCGGCUCAUCUCAUCCUGGGGCUGUAGCCGGUCCCAAGGGUAUGGCUGUUCGCCAUUUAAAGAGGUACGUGAGCUGGGUUUAAAACGUCGUGAGACAGUUUGGUCCCUAUCUUCCGUGGGCGCUGCAGAUUUGAGGAAGCCUGCUCCUAGUACGAGAGGACCGGAGUGGACACACCUCUGGUGUAUCGGUUGUCACGCCAGUGGCAUUGCCGAGUAGCUAAGUGUGGAAGAGAUAACCGCUGAAAGCAUCUAAGCGGGAAACUCGUUUCAAGAUGAGAUCUGCCGGGGCCUUGAGCCCCCUGAAGAGUCGUUCAAGACCAGGACGUUGAUAGGUCAGGUGUGGAAGCCAA